CCUACGGGUGGCAGCAGUGGGGAAUAUUGCACAAUGGGGGGAACCCUUAUGCAGCGACGCCGCGUGAGUGCAGAAGUAUCUCGGUACGUAAAGCUCUAUCAGCAGGGAAGAAAAUGACGGUACCUGACUAAGAAGCCCCGGCUAACUACGUGCCAGCAGCCGCGGGAAUACGGAGGGGGGAAGCGUUAUCCGGAUUUACUGGGUGUAAAGGGAGCGUAGACGGCACUGCAAGUCCGGAGUGAAAGCCCAAGGCUUAACCAUGGGACUGCUCUGGAAACUGUGGAACUUGAGUGCGGGAGGGGCAGGCGGAAUUCCUAGUGUAGCGGUGAAAUGCGUAGAUAUUAGGAGGAACACCGGCGGCGAAGGCGGCCUGCUGGACCGUAACUGACGUUGAGGCUCGAAAGCGUGGGGAGCAAACAGGAUUAGAUACCCGAGUAGUC
rnacentral:rRNA from 1 species